rnacentral:rRNA from 1 species
UACAGAGGUCUCAAGCGUUGUUCGGACUCAUUGGGCGUAAAGGGCGCGUAGGCGGCCAUGCGUGUCGUUCCGUGAAAUCCCUCGGCUUAACCGAGGACGUGCGGAAGAAACUGCAAGGCUCGAGUCCGGAAGAGGGGGGCGGAAUUCCCAGUGUAGCGGUGAAAUGCAUAGAUAUGACUUAGAACACCAAUUGCGAAGGCAGCUUGCUAAACAAAUAUUGACGCUGAGGCACGAAAGCGUGGGGAUUAAACAGG